GUGUGUUUUGAGUUUGUGUGAGCAAACAGAGGAGAGAAAUUAGAGAACAGGGAGAGUUUGAGGACAAAGAGAGACGAGAGUUGCAUAGGAGGAGCCAAGAGUCUGUAGAGGAGGCCGAGAUUUGAUGAUCGAAAUUCUUUUUCAGGGAUACGGGAAGAAAAUGACGGACGACGUUCCUCCACAGGAAAGGACGGCAGUGUUCUUAGUUGACCUUGGAUUCGGGUAAGGACCUGGUUAGCAAUUCGGACCUACGAGUUCGGGUAGUUACAAAUUUGGUGUCAGAGCUUCAGGUUCGAAAACCUAAGGACGACUGGUAGUGGCUUGCCUAAAGGGGUAGAAGGUUGACCUGCGUUGAUUAUGUGGUUGUGUUUUUGUAGUUACCAUUUUAUGAAGCAUGCUUACCUGCUACUUGUUUAUAUGUUUACAGUUUUAGAGGCCUGCUUAUUUACUAAGUGCUUACGUGUUUAAAUGCUGAAAUUUAUGUUACAUGGUCAUGCAUGUGAAGUAGUUAUA